UACGUAGGGUGCAAGCGUUGUCCGGAAUUAUUGGGCGUAAAGAGCUCGUAGGCGGUCUGUCGCGUCGAUCGUGAAAACUUGGGGCUUAACCCUGAGCUUGCGGUCGAUACGGGCAUGACUGGAGUUCGGCAGGGGAGAAUGGAAUUCCCGGUGUAGCGGUGAAAUGCGCAGAUAUCGGGAGGAACACCGGUGGCGAAGGCGGUUCUCUGGGCCUUACCUGACGCUGAGGAGCGAAAGCGUGGGGAGCGAACAGG
rnacentral:rRNA from 1 species